UUUCUGUGGUUCUGCAGUCAAACGUCACGUCACAAUUAUUUAUACAUAUUUACAAAAUAAACAAGGCUUUAAUUGAAUAAUAAAUGAAUGAAAUAAAACGAUCGUUAUAUAUCGAUCAGGUGAUAAGCAAUUGGCAAAGAUUCUCCAAAAACAUUUAGUAAAGUAAAUUGAUAUAAGUCUGUUAUCUCGAACGAUAUUAUCGUUUCGAUAAUAUCAAUAUAAAGUACUGAUAAGGAUAGUCAAUGCCCUACGUGAUUGUACGUGGUAAUUUAGCCGCGUACGGCCAGCGGUAUCCCUGGAGAGUUUUAGUUUCCGGAUUGAAAGCAGCAGAUAUAGAACAACUCAAGAGAUUUGCUUCAGGUGGUUAUUGUGAUGAUUGUACCAUAGUUUAUAUGCACCAUCCUUGUGUCAUUUUGUCAGCUUUAGAAGUGUUGGGGUAUAAGGUAGUUGCUUCAUCUUCAACUUCGGUAAAGCAAGAUUAUAACGAGUAUAUGUGGACUAUGAGAAAGGAGUUUGCAGAACCUGAACCUUGUGAAGACGCCACUACUAAAGAAGACUGUUCUUAAAAAUAUCAUUUGAAUAAAAAUAUUCAGUUCUGUAAAAUGGAAAUACCAGCUAGUCUCCUGAUGUCCUCUGGAUCAUUUGCCUAUGUGGCUGUAAAAGCAUCUCUUCAUGCUACAGAAACAGCUGUUUUUGGACUGAACAACGAUGAACUUACAGCAUUGCUAAGAAGAUUUGGUGACAGUAAAGGAUCCGUUAUAAACGGGAUUUCUUUAGGGGUGCCUCCUAUGAAUGUUGUCAAUGCUUUGGGUUUGUUGGGAUACAGAGUUGUUUCAACUACAGGAGGAAAUGAAAUUGUGUGGACUAUGCAGAGAGAUCUUUAGGGACUACUAGAUGAGACCAUACUGUGCUAAUUUUACUUAUGGUCAAAAGGUUAGAUUUCAUUCAGAAUGAUGUAUUUUCAAAAUAUGAUUUAUACAAGAUACAUAGGAUUUCUCUACAUCUAUCUCUUUGGUAUUGCACUUAUGAUCCAAUACUGAAAAGAAACAUCUCAAUUUAUAACAUACAAUUUGAUUAUAUCUGUAGUUGAAUUAUUAGGUACAUCACUAUUUAUAGAAAUACUAUAAUCAUGAAUUUAAAGAAUUUUAUAUGUCGGAAUGACUCAAUUCAUAGGAAAUCCUCAUAAUGAUUUUAAUUUAUUAAGUUUUAAUUAUAAUUAUAUUGAAAUGUUUAAGACUUUUAAAACACUAAAAAGCCAUCUUAUUUAAUAGAAUCAUGAUAUUGAUCCAUAUUUUUAUUUGUAGGUACUUAAUAAUAAGUGUUCUUUCUUCUAAUGGGAAAGAUUUCGAAUAAUAUUGCACAAAAAUUAAUUUUCCUAAUAAUGUUGAAGUUCACCUUUGGAAAAAGUAGUUUGCACUGCUUGUUAUCCGUUAUUUUAAAAUGUUUAUAUCUGUAUAUAUUUGCUCUCAUAAUUAAUGUAAACAAGAUGGACCAACUUCUAAUACCCCACUUUCUAGAUGUGACAAAUAUUAGUAGUUUAAACUGUACCAGGACUUGUUUUAUUGAUUUUUUAAUUAUGGAAAAUAUAUUUUUAUAACUUCAAAUAGUAACUUGAGAUGGCUGCUACAUAGAAUUGGUAUCUAAUAAACUGUAUACAAUUUA